UACGUAGGGGGCAAGCGUUGUCCGGAUUUAUUGGGCGUAAAGAGCGUGUAGGCGGCUUUACAGGUCCGUUGUGAAAACUCGAGGCUCAACCUCGAGACGCCGGUGGAAACCGUAAAGCUAGAGUCCGGAAGAGGAGAGUGGAAUUCCUGGUGUAGCGGUGAAAUGCGCAGAUAUCAGGAGGAACACCUAUGGCGAAGGCAGCUCGCUGGGACGGUACUGACGCUGAGGCGCGAAAGCGUGGGGAGCAAACAGG
rnacentral:rRNA from 1 species